rnacentral:lncRNA from 1 species
UCUAUCCAAGCAACAGAAGGAGGUGUUGGAGGCAGCCGCAGCAGCAGCAGCAGCAGCAAUAGCAAAGCUGUCCCCUUGCUCCACAGUGCUGUUCUGCUCUGAUGAAACACACUGGCAGAUGGUUGUAAAGUUACUAUCUUGAGAGCUGAUAGAACUGGGAUUUUUUUUUUCUGUGCCAGAUCUCAUUUCCUUCUGAAACAAUUCUUCUAGUAAACAGAGGUUUUCUGAUCUUGUUAAGAUCCAAGGAUGGGAUUCCUUUAUAAGUUUUUUUAUGAUUUAUUUAUUUAUUUUAUGAAUGUGAGUACACUGUACACUGUAGCUGUCUUCAGAAGAGGGCAUGGGAUCCCAUUACAGAUGGUUGUGAGCCACCAUGUGGUUGCUGGGAAUUGAACUCAGGACCUCUGGAAGAGCAGUCAGUGCCCUUAACCACUGAGCCAUCCCUCCAGCCUCGUCCCUUAUACGUUUUAAGUAUGAAUACUUUCUUGUGGAGUAAUUAUCUGUUGAUGGUGUGGGGUUUUGUUGCUUUGUUGUUUUGUUUUUGAGAGUGUUUCUCUCUGAAGCUCAGGUUGACCUAGGCUGGCCUUGAGUGCUGCUUGCUGGGUAAUUCUCCUGUCUCAGCUUCCAUAAAGUUGGGCUUACAGGCAUGGGCCAGAAUCCAUGGGCUUGAUGCAGAUAGAUAGGUAGAUGGACAGAUAGAUGGAUGGAUAGAUAGACAGAUAGAUAGAUAGAUAGAUAGAUAGAUAGAUAGAUAGAUAGAUAGUAUAUAUGUGUGCACCUGUCUGUAUGUAUGUACUCUGUGCAUGCAGGGGCCCUCAGAGAGCAGAAGAGGGCGUCAGAUUCCCUGGAACUGGAGUUGCAGACAGCUGUGAGCCACUGUGUGGGUGCUGGUGACUGAGCCUGGGUCUUCUGAAAGAGCUAGCAGUGUUAUUAAACCCUGAGCUGUCUCUUCAGUCCAAGGUGGUGGUGGUUUUUUGUUGAGGCAGGAUCUCCUCAUGAAGCCAAAGUUAGCCUUAAACUCCAUAGAUAGCCAAGGCUGGCUUUGAACUCAUGACCCUUCUGCAUCAACCUCCCACAGUGCUGGGAUUACAGGCAUUCUCCAUCAAGGCCAGCUGGAGCUAUUCUAUUGGUAGCAGAAGCAAUUCUGUGUCUCCCCUCUCCUUUUCUCUCCAAAGACUAGAAUAGGAAGAUACCCUGGCACCACCAGAGAGCAACUCCAGUUACAGACCACCCUGGAUAAACCUUCCCUAUGUUUCCCUGUUGCUACCAUCUCUUAUCAAACGGACCAGCAAGAAUGAAAAGCUUGCCAGGUAUGGGAGGCCGCAGACAGAGGCGACAUGGAAGGACCAAGAAGUGGGUAGAUUGUGACUUGCAAGAGAGAAUUAUUUUGAACCAAGUCUUGCGUGCUGACAGCAUAAUGAUCAUUAUUAGGGCCUCAGAUAUAACAUGAAGUCCGCCCUAAAGUUAAAUUUUCCCUUUCAGAUAAGCAUGGCCUGUCAGCGUUGUAUAAAAUGGUUCUACGCCAACCUCCUCCAUACCAUGGGAUUGGAAUGUUCCAGCUACUCCCCCACCCUCCGCCCCCAGUUACCAUUCCCAAAGGCCUUUGCUUCUCUCUUACCUUAGUCUUCUAAAAAAAUCAACCUAAGAGAUUGAGUAGUGGUAUGCAUGACUUUAGUCCUAGCACUCAGGAAACAGGCAGGCAGAUCUCUGUGAGUUCGAUGUCAGCCAGGGCUACAGAGUGAGUUCCAGGCCAGCCAGGGCUACACAGAGAAACCCUGUCUCAAAACAAAACAACAACAACACAAGAGAUAAGCAUCACCUAUACUAGUUUCUUCUCAUAGUUAGAUUCAGGUUUUUGGUCUGGAAUCCUGCCACUCCAGGGACCCCGUGGAUUUUGUUUGACUAUUACAGUAUUUUGAAACUUGGUUUUGCUUUGUUUUUGUUUUCCAUUAAAUACUGUUUGCUGGGUUUUGAUGAAAAG